rnacentral:rRNA from 1 species
UUGAACGCUGGCGGCAUGCCUUACACAUGCAAGUCGAACGGUAACAGGUCUUCGGAUGCUGCCGCGUGGCGACCGGGUGAGUAAUACAUCGGAACGUGCCCAGACGUGGGGGAUAACGAGGCGAAAGCUUUGCUAAUACCGCAUACGAUCUAAGGAUGAAAGCAGGGGACCGCAAGGCCUUGCGCGUUUGGAGCGGCCGAUGGCAGAUUAGGUAGUUGGUGGGAUAAAAGCUUACCAAGCCGACGAUCUGUAGCUGGUCUGAGAGGACGACCAGCCACACUGGGACUGAGACACGGCCCAGACUCCUACGGGAGGCAGCAGUGGGGAAUUUUGGACAAUGGGCGAAAGCCUGAUCCAGCAAUGCCGCGUGCAGGAUGAAGGCCUUCGGGUUGUAAACUGCUUUUGUACGGAACGAAAAGGCUCUGGCUAAUACCUGGGGCACAUGACGGUACCGUAAGAAUAAGCACCGGCUAACUACGUG